rnacentral:rRNA from 1 species
AGCUGCUCAGGAUGAACGCUAGGCGGCAGGCCUAAUAACAUGCACAGUCGAACGAUAGAUAGUCAGCUUGCUGACUUGCAAAAGUGGCGCACGGGUGCGUAACGCGUAUGCAACCUACCUUAAUCAGCGGGAUAGCCCGAAGAAAUACGGAUUAACACCGCAUAAGCUCACAGCACAGCAUUGUGUAAUGAUCAAAUAUAGGAUUAAGAUGGGCAUGCGUGACAUUAGUUAGUUGGCGGGGUAACGGCCCACCAAGACCACGAUGUCUAGGGGAUCUGAGAGGAUGACCCCCCACACUGGUACUGAGACACGGACCAGACUCCUACGGGAGGCAGCAGUAAGGAAUAUUGGUCAAUGGAGGCAACUCUGAACCAGCCAUGCCGCGUGCAGGAAGACAGCCCUCUGGGUCGUAAACUGCUUUUAUUCGGAAUAAACCUCAUUACGUGUAUUGAGCUGAAUGUACCGAAGGAAUAAGGAUCGGCUAACUCCGUGCCAGCAGCCGCGGUAAUACGGAGGAUCCAAGCGUUAUCCGGAUUUAUUGGGUUUAAAGGGUGCGUAGGCGGCUUCAUAAGUCAGGGGUGAAAGACGGUAGCUCAACUAUCGCAGUGCCCUUGAUACAUCCGAAGCUUGAAUGGACUAGAGGUAGGCGGAAUGUGACAAGUAGCGGUGAAAUGCAUAGAUAUGUCACAGAACACCGAUUGCGAAGGCAGCUUACUAUGGUAGUAUUGACGCUGAGGCACGAAAGCGUGCGGAUCAAACAGGAUUAGAUACCCUGGUAGUCCACGCCCUAAUGCUGCAAUACUCGCUGUUAGCGAUACACAGUUAGUAACUAAGCGAAAGCGUUACGUAUACCACCUGCCAGAGUACGGUCGCAAGAUUGAGUCUCAAAGGAAUUGACGGUGCUCGCACAAGCGGAGGAGCAUGUGGUUUAAUUCGAUGAACUCUAGAGGAACCUUACCCGGGCUUGAAAGUUAGUGAAUCAUUAAGAGAUAGAUGAGUGAGCAAUCACACGCCACUAGGUGCGUGCAUCGGCCUGUCGUGUGGCAUCUGCCGUGAGGUGCUUGGGUUAAGUACCGCAACGAGCGUCAAGUUUAGUAUGCCAGCACGUUAAGGUGGGGACUCUACUAACAGACUGCCUGUGCAAACAGAGAGACUAGAGGCUACGACGUCAAGUCAUCAUGGCCCUUACGACCGGGGCUACACACGUGCUACAAUGGAUGGUACAGGAUCCAGCAAGCUGGUAACAGCAAGCAAAUCUCCCUGAGCCAUUCACAGUUCGGAUAGACAUCUGCAACUCGACCUCAUGAAGUUGGAUUCGCUAGUAAUCGUAUAUCAGCAAUGAUACGGUGAAUACGGUGGCCUUGUACACACCGCCCGUCAAGCCAUGGAAGUUGGGGGUACCUAAAGUAUGUAACCGCAAGGAGCGUCCUAGGGUAUAUUGCGAUAACUGGGGCUAAGUCGUAACAAGGUAGCCCGGAAGGUGCGGCUGGAU